rnacentral:rRNA from 1 species
UACGAAGGGGGCUAGCGUUGCUCGGAAUCACUGGGCGUAAAGGGUGCGUAGGCGGGUUUUUAAGUCAGGGGUGAAAUCCUGGAGCUCAACUCCAGAACUGCCUUUGAUACUGAAGAUCUUGAGUCCGGGAGAGGUGAGUAGAACUGCGAGUGUAGAGGUGAAAUUCGUAGAUAUUCGCAAGAACACCAGUGGCGAAGGCGGCUCACUGGCCCGGUACUGACGCUGAGGCACGAAAGCGUGGGGAGCAAACAGG